rnacentral:lncRNA from 1 species
UUAUUUAAGAAAAAACCAGAUUGAUUAAAUUUAUUUAUCGUCAUGGGCUUGGAAGAUUUUCGAUUAUCGGGCUUUAAAAGGCUUCCCAUAUCUUCACCUAGCUAAAUUCUAGUAGCUUUGAAAAUUUAGCAGGCAGUUAUUGGUGGAGCUGGCAUUCUUCUUUACGAGCCAAAUGCACCAGUCCCAGUCCCACCCAUUCGUGCUUCUCUCCGGCCCUCCUUCCUGGUAAUCUCUCAUCAUACCCCAAUUUCUGCAGCGGGAAAAGGUCCUUACCUCAUUAGAAGCUGAGGAUGAUCGCAAGUGGUCUUCCUAUGCAACCGUAGCAUGAUAGAAAGCAACCCUCCUCUUCUCUCUCAGGUAAAAACUUGAUAUUCUCUCCUUCGUAGGAAAAGAAAUAUUACUGUUUCUUUGUUUUCCGGGGUGCUAUUAGAAGCUGAGGAUGAUCGCAAAGUACUCAUUAGUUCAUUAGUGUCUAAGGGGAUCAUUGAGGAUGAGGAGAUGGACAAUGAUGUUGUUGUUAAUGCUAGUGGGGAGACAUUAUUCUCCGCUAAAUGAUGUUAUAUGAUUUCCACAACAUUACAGGUACGCUUUCAACCCGUUCUUUUGGAUUCUGUGACUUCUAGUCCCAAUUCCCGUAAAAGAUGUGUUAAUAUGUGUUUACAUCCGUUUAUCUUGUACCUAGCUUGUUUUUGCAAAUUGAAAUGUUGAUUUCAGCAUUUGAUGGUUCUAAAUACUUGAACAGAAGCUUGCCUUUUCUUUUGCAAUUAGUCAUGGUUAUUCCCGCAACUAAAGUUUCCAGGGAGAUUUUCAGUAUUUCCAUUUUGGUUGUUUCAUCUUCCAGCGUUGUUGUUAACCUCGAUCAGUUGUGCAUCUAGUUUCAUUACUACAU